AUCGAACGCUGGCGGCAGGCCUAACACAUGCAAGUCGAGCGAGCGGCGGACGGGUGAGUAAUGUAUGGGGACUGCCCGAUAGAGGGGGAUAACUACUGGAAACGGUGGCUAAUACCGCAUACUAUCGGAUAACCCAUAUGGGAUUAGCUAGUAGGUGGGGUAAAGGUUCACUUAGGCGACGAGCUCUAGCUGGUCUGAGAGGAUGAUCAGCGACACGAGGACUGAGACACGGACCAGACGCCUACGGAGGCAGCAGUUGGGAAUAUUACACAAUGGGCGCAAGCAUGGUGCAGCCGUGGAGCGUGUAUGAAUGAAGCCUUAGGGGUGUAAAGUACUUCCAGCGGGGGUGCGUUACCCGCAGAAGAAGCACCGGCUAACUCCGUGCCAGCAGCCGCGGUAAUAC
rnacentral:rRNA from 1 species